rnacentral:rRNA from 1 species
CCUACGGGCGGCAGCAGUGGGGAAUAUUGGGCAAUGGGCGCAAGCCUGACCCAGCAACGCCGCGUGAAGGAAGAAGGCUUUCGGGUUGUAAACCUCUUUUAAGAGGGAAGAGCAGAAGACGGUACCUCUUGAAUAAGCCACGGCUAACUACGUGCCAGCAGCCGCGGUAAUACGUAGGGGGCAAGCGUUGUCCGGAUUUACUGGGUGUAAAGGGCGUGUAGCCGGGCUGACAAGUCAGAUGUGAAAUUCCGGGGCGCAACCCCGGACCUGCUUUUGAAACUGUGGGUGUUGAGUAUCGGAGAGGCAGGCGGAAUUCCUGGUGUAGCGGUGAAAUGCGUAGAUAUUAGGAGGAACACCGGUGGCGAAGGCGGCCUACUGGACGACAACUGACGGUGAGGCGCGAAGGCGUGGGGAGCAAACAGGAUUAGAUACCCUUGUAGUC